rnacentral:rRNA from 1 species
AAAUUUAAAGAAUUUGGCGGUAUUUUAGUCCGGAAGAAAACCUGUUCUAUAAUUGAUAUUCCACGAUUAAUUAUACUUAUUUUAAUGGUUUAUAUAUCGUCGUAGAUUGAAUGUUUUAGGAGAAUUUAAAUGUUCAAUAUUUAUAAUAAUAAAUAAAAUCAGAUCAAGGUGUAGCGAAUAAGUAAGUAGAAAUGGGUUACAAUAAAUUUAUUUAGAUGGUUAAAAUAUUUAACAUUAUUUUAUAAAGUGGAUUUGAAUGUAAUUUAAUUUAGUUAAAUUAUUUGAUUUUAGCUCUAAAAUAUGUACAUAUCGCCCGUCGCUCCCACUUUAAGGUGGGAUAAGUCGUAACAUAGUAGACGUACUGGAAAGUGUGUCUAGAUUGGCAAAUUAGAGCUUGUUAGAAAGUAUUUUAUUUACAUUAAAAAGUUAGUUGUGUGAAUCAAUUUAAUUUGAUAAUUAAUUAAUUAUUAAGUUUUAGAAAAAGAAAAUAUUUUUUAAAUUUAGUAUUUUUUUAGAAUAAUUAUAUUUAAUUAUAGUUUAUUAGUAUAGAGAUAGAUUAUUGAAAUAAUUGAAAUUUGAUUUUAAGAAAAGAAGUAUUAGUUUUAUGUACCUUGUGUGUCAGGGUUUAUUAAAAAUAUUUUAUAUAUUUAAUUUUCUCGAAUUUUUAAGAGCUAAUAAUUUAUAUAUUUAAUUGUGAUAUAAAUUUUUAUAAUAAAUUAUUAGAAAUGAAACGUUAGUCGUUUAAAAAGAUAUCUAGUUUUUUAAGAAAUAAAUUUAAUUUAUUUAUUUAGAGAUAUAAUUUUAAUUUAUUAAUAUUAUAUUUUAAAUAUUAAAUGUUUUAAGGGAUAAGCUUUAAAAUAGAGGGUUAUAAAUUAUUAUUAUAUUUAAAAGUUAUAGGAUUAUAAAUUUUAAUUUAUUAAUAUGUUAUAAUUAAUUUUAAUUUUAAUAUAAUUUAUAUUAAUUUUAAAUUUUUUAUUAAAAUAAUUUAUUUAAUAAUUUUAUAUGUGUGAUAAUGAUAAAAUUAGUAUAUUAUUUUUUGUAUUUAAAUUAUAUAUUUAAGGUUAAUUUGAGGAAUUCGGCAAAUUAAUUUUUCGCCUGUUUAUUAAAAACAUGUCUUUUUGAUUAUAAUUUAAAGUCUGGCCUGCCCACUGAGUAGUUAAAUGGCCGCGGUAUUUUGACCGUGCAAAGGUAGCAUAAUCAUUAGUUUUUUAAUUGAAAGCUAGAAUGAAUGGUUGGACGAGAAAAUGACUGUCUUAAUUUAAUUUUAUUAGAAUUUUAUUUUUAAGUUAAAAAGCUUAGAUUUUUUUAAAAGACGAGAAGACCCUAUAGAGUUUAAUAUUUAUUGUUAUUGUUAUUAUUUAGUUAUUUUUUUUUAAUAAUAUUAAUAAUUAUUUAUUUGGGGUGAUUGAAAAAUUAAGUAAACUUUUUU